rnacentral:rRNA from 1 species
AUAACUUACUGGAAACGGAUGCUAAAACCGGAUAGGUAGCAGACAAGCAUUUGACUGCUAUUAAAGUGGCUAAGGCCAUGAACAUGGAUGGACCUGCGGUGCAUUAGCUAGUUGGUGAGGUAACGGCCCACCAAGGCGACGAUGCAUAGCCGGCCUGAGAGGAUGAACGGCCACAUUGGAACUGAGACACGGUCCAAACUCCUACGGGAGGCAGCAUG